rnacentral:lncRNA from 12 species
CUUUUCUUACCAUUUCUAUCACUGCCCAUCCUGCCUACCAAUUUUGCUUUUUGCUGCUCCUUACUUGGCAUUUCCAAUCGUCCUAGUUUCCUGCUUUCAUCUAGUCUGUUUGGUAAAGUUGUGAUGAUCUGUCUCAAGGCUCCCUUCUUCAGUGCUUUUGUCUAGUACAGAUAUCUCACCAUGGGUGGUUUAUCAGGCCUUCAUUUCUUUUAUUGUUUCAUUUAUUUAUUUUUAUUAUUUUAAAAAAUUUUAUUUAUUCAUGAGAGACAUAGAGAGAGACAGAGAGAGAAAGAGAGAGAUUGAGAGAGGCAGAGACACAGGCAGAGAGAAAAGCAGGCUCCAUGCAGGGAGCCUAAUGUGGGACUCGAUCCCGGAUCUCAGGGACUUGAUCCCGGGACUCUAGGAUCACACCCUGAGCCGAAAGCAGGUGCUAAACAGCUGAGCCACCCAGGGAUCCCCUCUUUUACUGUUUUAGAUUUUAUUUAUUUGAGAGUGAGAGAGUACUAGAGAGAGAGAGAGCACACGUAGAGGGAGGGACAAGGGAGAGGGACAAACAGACUCCUUGCUGAACAGAGCCAGACAUAGGGCUUGAUCCCAGAACCCUGGGACCUGAGCUGAAGGCAAAUGCUUAGCUCAGCUGACUGAGCUACCCAGGUGUCCCCAGGCUUUUAUUUCUCUGGUACCUCACUUGUGACUCCCACAUCCUCCUUCCAUAUACACUUUAUGUUCUAACUGCUUAACAUGUCAACAAUAGUAUACACUAAGCCCUGCCCUCUUAUAUCUGUUUUAUUUAUACUCAUUGUAAAUGAUUUAUGGUCUCUAUUAGAGUAUGAGUUGCUCUCCUAAUUUAAGGAUUAUUAGACUACCCAGUAAGACUACAUAUUCUAUAUGUGGCACAUAUUUCACAGACCUUAUUACUUUGCUUUCAUACUUUUCUAGCAGUCUUAGAAGAUGUUUCUUUUUGUAAAGCUUGUCCCUAUAUUUUGGGAUCCUGGGCCCAUACUUUGUUAUAUUAAUAGAUUAUUUGAAAUCAUUUAUUGUUUUAGUUCAUUUCAAUUUAUUUUGCCUUUGGUUUUCCUUUUGUUUUUGUUUUUCAGGGAAAUCAAUGAUUCCAAAAUUUGUUAUUCUAAACUAGCAAGAUUUUAAAUCCUUCUUAGUUUUCUCUUUGCCUCUGAGGUUUGUAAACAUAAAAUGGCACUUAAAAAAAUACAUCCUGGUCUGUAUAUGAUCAUCAGAAGAGGGAGUACAGAGGUGUGAGAGACCCUAUGCGUGUUGAAGAGAUGUCCUCUUCCUGCUUCCCUGGUUCCCACUGUCCAGGUUCCUUUUGUAGCUUCAUAGCCAAUCAGGACCCAAACAAAUUAGAACUUUACAAAUAUCUCAUCACUCUGAGAAAGUUGGAGAUGGUUCCAGUAUAGGCAAGCAUUGUUAUUUGUAUCUUUGUAAUUUUACCACCUUAAAUUCUUUCUAUUUAUGGAUCAUUGUUGAACCCUCUAGAAAAUUUCCAUACACAUCUGCAACCAUCAUGGUUACUUAAUAUAUACAGAAAAUGAUUAUUUUCAUCUUUUUUCAAAAAAGAUUUUAUUUAUUUGAGAGUGAGAGCGUGAGAGUGAGGGAGAGCAUGAGCAGGGGGAGAGGCAGAUGGAAAGGCAGAUUCUUUGCUAGGCAGGGAGCCUAAUGUGGUCUCGAUCCCAGGACUCUGGGAUCAUGACCUGAGCCAAAGGCAGACGCUUAAACUGAUUGAUCUACCCAGGCAACCCUGAUUAUUUUCAUCUUGAUCCCAUUAUUGAGUCUGCGAGAUGAGGCAGGGAGGGCCCAUUGUAAAACCGUACAAUUUUUUUUAACAUAAUCUCUGCACCCACAGUCGGGCUUGAACUCAUGACUUCA